rnacentral:rRNA from 1 species
GAUGAACGCUGGCGGCGUGCCUAAUACAUGCAAGUCGAGCGAACGGACGAGAAGCUUGCUUCUCUGAUGUUAGCGGCGGACGGGUGAGUAACACGUGGAUAACCUACCUAUAAGACUGGGAUAACUUCGGGAAACCGGAGCUAAUACCGGAUAAUAUUUUGAACCGCAUGGUUCAAAAGUGAAAGACGGUCUUGCUGUCACUUAUAGAUGGAUCCGCGCUGCAUUAGCUAGUUGGUAAGGUAACGGCUUACCAAGGCAACGAUGCAUAGCCGACCUGAGAGGGUGAUCGGCCCCACUGGAACUGAGCCGCGGUCCAGACUCCUACGGGCGGCAGCAGUAGGGACUCUUCCGCAAUGGGCGAAAGCCUGACGGAGCAACGCCGCGUGAGUGAUGAAGGUCUUCGGAUCGUAAAACUCUGUUAUUAGUGAAGAACAUAUGUGUAAGUAACUGUGCACAUCUUGACGGUACCUAAUCAGAAAGCCACGGCUAACUACGUG